ACGGGGCGCACAGGCGCUUGGCGCCCGCGGGCCAUCGAUCGCCUUCCCGGCCCCAGGAUAACGACCCGUUGAGGGAGCCUCCCCUCCGCAGCCCCCCGGGGCGUAGGUUCGAAUCCCGCCGGCCCAACUGGGAGCACGAUCGCGGACCGGGGGACGUCCUUUUCAGAGGAGGAUCUAAUGGACAGGGACCGAAGAGGUCUCCCACUAUGUGCCACACACCAUGGGGUUUUCUUGAUUGGUCCCAAAUCCAAAGAAAUCCAUUUUCCUCACACAGGAGUGAGUGCAGCCACCGGAUCUUAGCUAAGGAGAGGAAGACCCUUAUUUACAGGCCCUCCUGAAUCUUAGGCUGGCCUUCUACAACUCCUCAUGUAGCUGAGGACACCUUGAAUUCCUGCUCCUCCUGCCUCCACCUCCCCAGGGCAGGCAGACAUUACCAGGCCUGGUUUAUGUGGCGCUGGGGAUGGAUGCACCUAGAGCUUUGUGUAACUCUAGGCCACUAAGGCCAGGUCUGGAGAAGCUACGGGGACCCCACCCCGGCUCCCACUAGCCUAGGAGCUAGACCCUGGUGUUACUGCCUGGAACGCUGUGUGGACCUAGGACUCCUCCCGGGGGCCGCGCUCCCCCCUUCUUCCCCGCCCUGUCCCGGGCUGAGGGGAAGGUGGUGAGGGUCUGCUCUGACCGCCUCCCCCAGCCCACUGCAGCGGCGCACCGAUCAGCAGCGCCAAUCGAUCGAUGGCGUAUUGAGCACUUUUCAAGCUCGGGUGAGUUUUGCGGAUUCAGUGUAAACCGCAGGUUGGGCCCCCACUCUCAUCGACCUGGGCGCGGGAGCCCCCUCCUUGCCGCGCUGACAGCUCUGCACCCUGUGCAGGGCGCCCCAACCCUCCCGGGACCCCGCAGAGAGAAUAGGCUGCCGGGAGAUGGAGGGGCUGCUCAGGAGGACAGGACAGUGUGCAUAGCCUGCAGGGACCGUGGGAGCCCUGGGGGGUUGGGGGGAGGCAGAGGGGAGGCCUCGAUAGGGAGUCACAGAGACUGGGGCAGCAGCCACCUUCCUCAGAGACCAUCAUUUCCUGUCUAACCAGGCACCCCCUUCCCUAACCUUGUGACUCAGCCUGUGUGAUGCUGGCGACCUCACUCCCUGCUCAGGCCUCCCCAGAGCCACCUGUUUGGCCACAGCACCUGUGACUCAUAAGACAUGCUUGGAAAUAGAGGUGGAAGGGGAAGGGAUACAGUAGCGACUGGAGCAAGAGUUUCCCCAUAUAUUCAUACAUCCAUGCUGUCCACUCCUCUGGAAACUUCCUUCAAACUCUACCCCAGGUUCCCUGUCCCAUUACCCAUGCACCCACUAUUUACCCAUCCAU